CAUAAAGGGAAAACGGACUCACUAGGAGGACCUAGACUCUUUCAGCUUGAACUGUUAACCAAUGGUGGAAAUGCAAGAAUGCUGAAGUUGUGCCUUCAGAGCCAAUAGAGUGGAUUUGUGUGUCCCACAUGACUGUGUUUCCCCUGUCUUUCACAUGGGCAGUAUUUAGUUCAAUUCAGAACUGCAGAUAGUAUAGCACGCAGAGCAGCAAUGGGAUGUCUGAGCACAAGUGGCUGACUUCCAGGCGACUUCAAGAAGCACAUUUGCACAUUUAUCCUGAAUUAAACUGGAAUUCUGCACCCUUGACAUCCUCCUACUCUCCUGGUGUCUGCGGAAGGAAACAGCGACCUGCACAGCACAACAAAACUCACUGUGUGGAGCCUACAUCCUCCCCCUUUCUUCCUUUCUUUGGAAUUUACACAGAACAGACAGCACAUUUCCUGCUGGACACCCUCUGGAUUCACCGUGUGCUUUGGGUGUUGUGAUGGGUGAGCAAACGCUUAAGAAAAUUUGAGAUUUUCUUUUUUUUUUUUUUUUUUUUAAUGGGAGAGGAGGUUGUGGCCUUUGGCUGCAAGAUGUCAUUGAGCGUUCUUGCUCCUUUUCUUUCUACUGAAAGAGUUGGUGAGUAUAAAGAAGAAUAGAACUGCAUAUUCCUUCUUGACAAAGAUUUAUCAUACAGUAUUAUAUAUUUAGAAACUUCAUUUGGCUGGCAUUUCUCUUAGUGCACAAAUGCAGAAUAAGUGAGAGUAACACAGCAUGGAAGAGAAAUGUGGGGGAGAAGACCUACUUUUCAAUUUUUCUGUUUGAAAACUCAUACUUUAUUUUAUGAGUAGCAAUGAGGUUCACUUUAAAAAAAAGCAUUCUAUACUGGAAGAUAUUGGGCAUUCCUUAUUAUAUGAGAAUAUUUCUGAAUUAAGAUCUGUAUUGUUUCCCAUUUCCGUAAGAAGCCCUCAGAUUGUACCAGCUGUCAAAACAUAUUUACAGUCUGCACUGCUGCAAGCCCACUGUAGUGAAAUUUGUGUAAGGUUCGAAGGUAGCAUAACUGAAGAGUGUUUGUUUUGGGUUUGUUUUUUGAAAGAAAAGAAGAUAGCUAUGCAUUUUCAGCAAACAUGGCUACACACAUAGAUGUAUCUCUUAUUUAGGGAUACAACCUUUCUGAUUGACUGCUAAUCAUCUGGCAACAUUUAUGUUUUUCAAACGUAGUGCUACAUUUUGCAUCUUGCUUUUGACUUACCUGUUCUCUACUCCCUCCUUUUCCUUUUUUUUUUUUUUUUUUUUCUUCCCUGCUGUAUGAAUGCUAGUUGAAGUCCUACAGCCAGUUUAGUUGUCAGGUUAAUUUUACCUUUACUUAUUUAUUAAUUUAAGUUAGGAAAAAAAACCACAAACAUUUGCAGUCAGAUGAUAAUGUCCACAUCUGAAGCCAGGAGCUGAAAUGAGAUUGGGUCAAGUUUGCCUGAAAGCAGACAAUGAAUUACUAACUAUUCUCUUGAAUCAGUUGCUCAGAAUUUGAAGGUUAAUAUCAUUUAAGAAAUUGCUAUUUGGAGCAUCCCUCCCCCAUUCUCCAGGAAAGACAUCUGGCUAGUACUGAAUGGAGCUUAGUGUUUGAACAUCCCAUCUGGUUUCAUCGUGUUAACACAUGAUUCCAAGUCAUUCAAGAAGUAUGAACAAUGGGUAUUGUAUUCCAUAUACUGCCAUGUGGAUUUAAUCUUUAAAAUAUGGUGGCACUGUAGAACUCAACCUUUUAGUUGAAGGUCAAAACAUCCAAUGUACAGAAAACAUAUUUCUCAUAGCCUCAGAAAAGUCGUGAUUAUCCUACUCUAAAACCAAUAAGCAAAGAUAUCUCUCUUGUAUAACAUCAUUGCCAUUCUCACCCAUCGUAUCUUGAUAAAUCAAGAAUACAAUUCCUAAACACAGCUUUAAUGAGUGAUAUUAUCACAGACUUGUAAUUUCAUGGGAAUACUAAUUAUUUUAUCCCUCAAAUUAUCUCCAUAUUGCUUAAAAUCAAAUGUUAAAAUUUGCUAUUAAGCCAGUUAAAUGGAAUUUGGGCACUCUCACCUUCCACAGUUGGUUAGUCUACCUUCUAUGGAGAUCAAAAACAUAUAUCUCUCUUUAAAUAAAAAGUUUUCUUCAACAUACCAGUAUUAAUCUUUCAGUAACAUUGGAACAAACAUCUCAUUCCUCUCUUCUCUUGAAUAAAAAUUACAUUUCAAUUAAUAUUUCUUUGUCAAACACUUUUUAUAUGUUUAUUUCUUCAUAAGAAUGAUUUACCCAUGGUCCUGCAACCCUGAAAAUACCAACAGGUAUUUUCUGUGUUUAUUAAAGGAUCCUUACUAAGACCAAAUAUUCAGUAAGUGGCUUGCCACAAAAAGUUAAUUGAACUAAUUUCAGGCUGAAAGAGAUUCAUGGAAACUUCAGAUGUAAGCAGGUACUUAAAUAUUUAUUAACUGUCCUGUAGGCAGCCUAAUAAAAUUAGAUUGCAUCAUUUGAGCACUUGGGAAAGAGAAUGGAUUUUACAUGUUAGAGCAAGAAGAUGAGGAAGCAACUUUGGGCAAAAAUAUCAUCUUUUCAGUGGAAUGAAGGAGGGCAAACAUGCUUGAAAACUUACAGUGUAUGUGGCCAUGUCAUUUUUAAAUCACUUUGCUGAAUCACAACUCGUAUUUUAUUUUUGGAGGUAAGAUUAUAAGAUGCAUGAUUUCUCAUUGGAAAUCCCUGGAAAUGGACCAGAAAGAGGGACUGGCUCAUCCUCAAAACUGUGAAACCAGAAUCAGAGCAGUGUAAGAAGAGAGAUUUGGCUGAUGAGAAAAGACAAAGACAAUUCAGUGGAGGAUGAUAAAGGAGAUUAAGUUACACCAUCCAACAUUUUGUGAACUCUGUUGAAAAGUAUCCUCUCUUUAGUGUCACCACAAUUAUCAGCCAGCACACAGACUGAAGUGAGAUAGAUAGAAAUGUAUGAGCAAUACAACAUGGUUCAUGUAAUAGCAAGAUUUUUACAACAAUAUCUAAAUAAGAAGUUUUUAAGAGGAUAGUGAGGAUGCCUAGGAGAUCUUGGGAAAUUUUUUUACCUCAUGCUUAUUUUGUUAGUCAAACCCAUCCAGACCACUGUGUUUGGAAACUGAAGGGGUAAAGGAGGAAAAUAAAAAUGAUCCAAUUUACGUUGUGCACAUUAAUGUCGUUUAGGAGGACGCUGGAUAAGCUCACAGCAAAGUUGGGUUGAAGUUCAGCUGUAUCAGUUGCAAGGUUUCUUCAAACUCCUGGUAAUCACCUCAACUGUUAAAUCAGUAGAUCAUAAGUAUUCAAGUGUCUUCUCCCUCCCACAGCUGAUUACAGCAAAGAGGUUACUAAACUCCUUAAUUGAAGAAAACAGCUAGAAAAUGCAAGAUUAGAAUAAACAUGAUACGAUUUCACCGUUCUUAAUAUAGUUUCUUCCUAUCAUCUCUAAUGAUUGAAUCAUGUAUUUAUUGCUAUGUUAAUUGAUGACCAACUUGGUUUUACAGAACUAAAACAGAUCUGCUUUAUUCAUUUUGUAAUACUUCUUUCAACUCUUUUCAAGUAGUUCUGAUUGAGUACUCAGUACAGACUUAGACAAGCUAUCACAGACAGUAUGUGUGAGAAAGUCCUGGGAGUCUAAUUCAAUUACUGUCCAGAAUGGCAUAGCUUUUGAGUUAUCAAGACUUACUCCUUCAGUUUCUUACGCUGACAAGUCCAAAGUGUCCAAAAUACGCACUACUUUGCUGUCUGUAAUUAUUAACACAGUAAAUGUUAGGAACCUCCCUAAGUAUGGUUGACGCACUGGAACAUGUUACCCACAGAGGCGGUGGAUACCCCAUCCCUGGAGACAUUCAAGAUCAGGCUGGAUGGGACUCUGAGCUACCUGAUCGAGCUGUAGGUGUCCAUGUUCACUGUAGGGGAGUUGGACAGAUGGUCUUUAAGGGGCCCUUCCAACUCAAACGAUUCUAUGAUUCUUUCAAUCACCUGUAGCACCUGAAUUGCCACAAGCCCUCCUCAAGGCCUCCUCAAACAGAAAAAGAGACCGCAGAAUUUAAGUGCAACACUAAGUCUGUCUGAAAUCACUUUUUAAAAGUCUUAGAUUUCUGUAGUAUUUUAAGACAGGAAAGGCAAGCAGGAUACUUGCUUAAAAAGAACUACAAAAAGAAAAAGCAAAACAACUUCUACAAUUUAGAGAGCUAGUUAAACAUUAUUGGUUCCAUAUAUAUAUUUGGCAUAACUUGACGUCCUUUUGCCAUCAAAAUCUUUGACUUCUCACACAAGAUCUAGAGUUACAAUUGGUUCUAGUCGUGAUUGGUUUUGCUUAAGAUUAUACAAUAAUUAAGAUUGGAAAAGGCCUCUAAGAUCAAGUCCAACCAUCAAUCCAUUACCACAAUGCCCAGUAAACCAUAUCCCUAAGCACCAGAUCUACAUGUUUCUUGAAAACCUCCAGAGACAGUGACUCCGCCAACUCCUUGGGCAGCCUGUUCCAAUACUUAACCACUCUUUUGGAGAACAAAUUUUCCUAACAUCCAACCUAAGCCUCUCCUGGUGCAACUUGUAGCCAUUACCUCUCAUCCUGUCUCUAGCCACUAGGGAAAAGAGACUGACCCCCACCUUGCUACAACUUUCAUUCAGGGAGGUUGUAAAGAGUGAUAAGGUUCCUCUGAGCCUCCUCUUCACUCCAGACUAAUCAAUCCCAGUUCCCUCUGAUCCUCCUCAUAAGGCUUGCAUUCCAGCCUCCCUGCCCUUCUUUCGACACACUCCAACACCUUAAUGCCUUUCUUGCAGCGAGGGGCCCAAAACUGAACACAGUACUCAAGAUGCAGCCUCACAAUUGCUGAGUUCAGGGGAACGAUCACUUCCCUAGCUCUUCUGACAACAAGCUAUGAUGCUGAAAGAGAAAUACAACAUUUACCAAGAGUUUCCAAAGGAGGUAUAAUUUACUCAAUUACUUGCAGCAAAACAAGUUAUACCACACUAGCGUAGCUAAACCACAUGAACUUGGGGCCAACUGAUCAAUAACUAUGUGUCCAGUAAUACAUACCUGAUAGAACUCAUUACUUCAUCAGCUGUUCUCUGUGCUAUAUGUGGGCUGUUAAUCUUUCUAUUGUUUUUGUUCUAGAAUGUAGUAAGUAGUGUUUAUUUUCUAGUGCACUGUAUUCAUUCAUCUUGCUUCUACCUACAGUGCAGUUUGAUUUCAGUUCCAACAUUAAGAUAAAAAUAAGUGACCUUAUUAAACAUGUCUACUCUUGUUAGUUAUCUAUGCAGAGUUGCCAUUAACUGACACAAGGAGUUUAUCUUAAUAUGAGGUCUUGCAAGAACAGUCUGAGUUUUAAGUUGGACUUUUGAUUAUUUGCAAAUCACGGCUCUCCAUAUGGGGGCUCUAAGUGCGUUAUGAUCCAAAUUACUAAAUUUAAUUUAAAUCUCUUCUCCAUUAAUGUGACUAAGAUAUUUGUGCACAGCAGACGUGAAAUAUUAGUCUCGCCCCCUUGCUAAUACUAUCUUGUUUUCCCCAGAUACAUGGCAAGCUGCCAAUUAGGGAAGUACACAUGCUGCAACGUGAAGGAAAAUAAGUAGAUAUGUCUGUAUGUAUAACUACAAGUGAGAGUAUUGUCUGGUGCAGCUGGAGUGAAAAACAUUCCAAAAAAAGCUAAUUACAAUUCCAGCCUUUAUUAUUAUUAUAAGCAGAAGCCUUUGUGAGCUAGAGUUACAUUCUUCACUACAUCUUAUUACUUAUAUUUAAGUUUUACUUUGUUUUUGUACUUCCCCAAUUCAAAACCUUAAAAAUAAAAUUGUGUCAAAGGCAUUAAAACAAAAGAAAAAGAUAUAAUAAGGCAAUUUAUGAAACCAUAGAACAAAGAAAAGAAUUCUCUUCAUUCUUCCCGUUACCUCUAUGGAAGAACCUUUUAGUCAUAUGUAGAACAACUCCAAUGUAGACAUCAGAGUUACACUGAAAUAUCUACAAAAGAAAACCUAUUGGUAUCGAUAGAAACAUUUUCAUAAACCUUCCUUCCUCCUUCUUAAGGAAGGAAAGAGCAAGUUACUGUGGAAGCCAGUGGGCAACCCAUGCUCCUGUUAGAUUCAGAGUGGUGUAAGAUGAGAAACUCCUUCUGCUCAUUCCCUGACUGCUGCACUGUGGAAAGAUGUAUUAAGCUUGCUUCCUUUUAUUCAUUCUAGUUUAAAACAAAGGAAAAUUGAGAAUAUUUCGGACACUGCAAUACAACAAUAAAGAAAUCUAGGCAACUCUAUAUCGUUUAUCAUAGACAUACAGCCGUAUAACGAUCUCAAAAUCUGGCUGUAUUAAUCUGAUCAGUAUACUGACAAUAAUAUAGAAAAUUAACAUAACUAAAAAUGUCUGCAAGUUCUCUGUCUCUCCUAUCCACCUAGGUACCGAAGGUAUCAUCUACAAGAUCCACCUCAUUUGUUGAGCUUGCUAAAAUAAAAAUACAACCAUAAUUAUAUUUUGUUCAUUCUCCCGUCUAGUUCAAAAUGAGACACUUAGCAUAACUAAAUUUUUGAGGCUCUGUAAAUCUCUGCAUGACUGUGCUACAUGCACUCCUCAUGAAAAGCUUGGCAUCUUCUUGUGCCACACUGCUCAACAUAAGCUGCUUUCCUCUAAUACAUAGAUCAUUUUUGUACAGGAGCAUUGCCAUUUUUCAUUUGCAAGAGCAACUAUAUGAAGUGAUAGAGCUUUCAGAAAUGGAAAAAUGUGCCCUACUUUUAACUUAACAGAAAGUGGCAUUUCAUCUUCUAGCCUUGCCAGUGCACUCGUUAGUAAUGUGAUGUAAUGUGUCAUGUAGGUUGAAGAGAAGUUGUUUGCCUCAAGGAUCAAGUGCCACUUCUCACCAGAAAUGUAAAAAGAUUUCACUUCAUGUUUGACUUCUAAUUCACAAGUAGUGCUGCCUUUGAAUAUCAACUUUUUUGUCAAGCUGGAAAAUAGCAGUUCGCGAAGUUGCACUUCAAAUGAAGUUGCACCAUUUUUUAUGAAAACUCCUUUGGAAAACAUUUCUAAGGAUUAAAAGGAGAUCUUUCUUCAAAAACAGAUAUACUGACUCCAAAAUAGCUCUUUCCCAUUCUGUAGUAAAUCAACAGUUUAGACAGAUGUCUUCAUUCUUAACUUUCACUGAAAUUUAACGUGGAACAGAACAAGUUUUGAACUGUAGAAUUUUUGUGGGGUGGAAAAAAUGAGCUUUCUGCUUACCUGUGGUCAUAAAAAUAUUUAUCAGUUUCCCAGUUAAAAAAUAGCAAUGAAUGGUAUACAGUGAUUCAUUUCUGUAUAUGAAGAAUUCAUAUAAGUUAGGAAAUGAGCAUUCAGAGGCUGUAUGUAUUCAACGUAUCGAGCCAUUCUACUUUCUCUCACUCUCAUGCAGGCACAACAACGUGGCCUCCCAUUAAAUUAUUAAAUGUUUAAUCUAAUGGGUCAAAGGUAACUCAAAGUUGCUUUUAACAAAAUUUUCAAACAUAAUGGAUAAUUAACAACCCAUGGACAAUUUAUAGAAAACUCUUGCAAGAUAUAUUGUGUAGAACCAUACCUAAUGCAUAAUUUUUAGUAAAAAGCUGUUAGUCUAUUAGGAACAUGUGCCACUACUUAUGCUAACUUUUCAAGUUCAAGAUCCAGUAAAACCAAUUAACAAAAACAGAAUAAUGCCUAACAAGUCUUUGAGAUAACACAGUUAUCUAUAAUAAUACAACUAGCACAUCCUAAUCCACACCCACCUUAUAUUUCAUACGUGAAGAGGAUUGCAAUUGUUAAAGGGGUAUGCAAAUUUAUUCAGGAGAGAGGAAGGAUGACUUUUGGGAUAUUUAGUAGAGCUUUAGUGGGAGAAGAAAAGAAAUGAGAGUCAGCUCUGUGUCUAAAACAAUUCUGCUGCUACCAGAAGAUUUUGCCUUCACAAAAGAAGUGACGUGGAGAAAACUAGACAAGAUAAAGAUCUUCUCAGCCUCUGACUAUGAUUAGAGCUAAAGAAGUAUUCAACAAAGGGUACUCAAUAACCCGUUCCCAGGUUUUGAAGCCUUGACCAUUACAGAUAAGAAGGCUCAAGAGAGGCUACUGUUUUGGAAAAGUGUCUUCAGCAAUUACAGAAAUUAUAGCAGGCUGCCCUUUCCCAAGUCAUGGAUGUCAGCUAUCUCAGUGGACUUGGUGGAAAACCCAAAGUUUCUCCUGAAUUAAGCAGAAUAGCCUAGUCACCACCUGCUACCUUCACCUUCCAGUUUAGAUCUUUUGUAAGAAAGCUAAAUACACACUUGAAAUAAUCUUUAAUAAUCUUUACCUUCUGUGAAGAUUGAUCUAUUUGAGGUGUGGAAUGAAGAUUUCUAAUACGUACAGAUCCCAUAUGGACAUUUUGACCUAUCUUAAAAUUUAAGACAGUUUCUGUAAAAGAAAUUCCUCACUGUCAACCAUGUACUGGACUUGCUUCCACUGAUCUUUGACACUAGCAAAUGCCUCGGAAGAUUAAAGAAUACUGGUUAUUAGAAUGUGAAAAAAAAAUAUUGUCCAACAAAACAUAGCUAUUUCUUCACUAAGACAAAAACACUUAAAAUUAGAAAAUUUACCAUGUUUGAAAAGAGAACUAUACUAAUACUCAACAGAUACAUAUUAUUCUGCAGAGUGCAAGUUGAUGAUAUGGCAGUGUGCUUCGACAAAAUACGUGAAGAUUGACUAAAGUUACUUCUGGGCACAAAUAUAUUUUGUGGCAUGUCUCAUCAACACUAGACAGCUCUAGAGUAAAAUGUAAUAAAUAAUACAUACUGAAAUAUACUCCCUACUUUUUACAUAAGUCAAAUCAUUCUGGAAAUUUAGAUUGUCAAUAGGUAUAGAUUUCCUUUUAUGGCAUGGAUUUUUAGUGAAAGGUUUCUAUAUAUUUUAAAGCAAAAUGAUCAGUAUAAUGAUUUUACAGAGAAAGUCUCUAAAAAGAUACAUAGAUUUAAGGAAAACUUGAUAAAGCAUCACUGAAAACAAAGUAACAACAGAAACACAGGACCAGUUUCAGUUAGCUAAGAAAUAUUUGUGAUUCCAGAGAGAAGUUUUGUCCAGAAGGAUGCAAAUGCCAGAGUGCUUUUCUGCAAUGCUACAUCUUACUAAGUCAUGUGAUGUGCAGUGCUUUCACUAGAAAUGGAUUUAAAAGGUUUUUUUUUUUUUUAGUUAAUCAAAUUAAAAUGAAGUGUUAAAACCUCUUCAGUGUACCAAAAUGUCAUUACAGUAGGCUAUAGUACCUGCAGCAUUGGUAAUGUUUGCCAAGGCAUGUGCUGUUAUGUCACCAUUAUCAGAGCAACUCACAGAGGAGGAACAGGGCCAGAGGCCAAACUCUUUCAGCCAACUAUGAAUCAGGGUAUGCCUGCAGUACAUUUUUGGUUUGUUUAUUUUGGUGGAGUUUUUUGGUUUUGGGAUUGUUUUUUGUUUUUGUUUUUUCUGACCGUGACCUUAUUGCAGGUGAACUGCAGAUUGCCAUUCUGGAAGUAAGCAGGGUGGGCAAAAAUCACUGAAAAAUGUAUUGCAAGUGUCUUCAACUUGAAGACAGAUUUCAUUAACAUGGUGAUGUCUACAUAUGCUAGAUUAAUUAGUAAAAUGAAAACAUUCAACGCAAUACCGCUCAGAAGCAAAACCCACAGCAUGCACCAAAAUAUUGUUUGACAUACUGUGAAGGAUAUGAUUUACUAAAAAGCUUCUUCUCGAAUAGUAUGAUUUAUGUACUCACGAAACAGGUUUUGCUGUAUCAGUUCCUGGCCCUGUACUAGCCAUAUGCAAGGAGAACACAGAGCUUACAAAAAAGAUGUGUUGAGUCUGAAGCUUUCUUAUUUAAUAAAACUCACACCAUGUAUCAUAAAUGAAGACUUCUACUACACCUGCAUCAAGUUUAGAAGCUAAUGAAGUAUGGAAACUUGCAAAAAAAAACCCCAAAAACUGGCUAUUUACAGAAGAGAAUAGAACUUGUUGUGAAAAAAGAACAACAACAACAAUAACAAUAAUAAAGCAGAAAAGGAAAGUAUUCCUGAUGUUUAUUUUGUCUUCCUAGAUGCCUUAAUGUUAAAUAAACAAAAAACAAAAAACACUUAUUAGCUAGUCAUAUUGUAUUUGGUUUAACAAUGUAAAAUAACAUUUCUGGAAAGGAGCAAGGUAGUUAUAAAAACUUAAAAGUUUUAUCAUCUUAAAGAUUUAAUCUAACAAAACCCCAGUUUCAUUGUUGCAUAUUUCCACCUCCUGGCUUUUCCAAAAAUAGUUUUUAAAAGAUCUCAACACACACAUUGAUUUGAUGAAUCUGGGCUAAAAUAGUUAAACCAAAAAAUAAUAAAUUGAGUAUGUAUUCCCUUACUCACUUAAGGAAAAACACAACUUCUUACUAUAUUUUAUCAUUCCUUCCUCUGAUUGACAGCAAUGCAGAUCAUUUUGAGUCUCAAAUAGUUGAAACAAGUCAGAAGAAAAUUUGCUUCUGAUUUGUAUGUUAAGCAGAAGUCUUCUCUUUCAAAUAAGCAUUUGGAGUAUGCUUGAAUGAGAAGUACUGUUUUUGUUUGUGUGUUUUGUUUACCUUUUUUUCCAACCUCUCUCUACCUUUUAGUCAAUGCUACAUCUGCCGGCGUAGAGAGCACAACAAGAACUCCUGGGGCAUUGCCCUUCCUAAUUGUUUCCUUCUAGGAUGUAAGGCAGAGGGCAAGAGGCAAGAACUGAUCAACAGUAGUGAUGAUAAAAAUAAAAUUCUUUAAGUCAGUCCAUCUGUAUGCACCUACUUUCACAGGAAUUCUACAGCAUUCUCAUCUAUAUAAACAUUAUUUUAUUUAAAGGGAGGAUUAAUGAGAAUAUCAUCUUUAAAUCUAAUGCCAGAAUUAGGUUACUGAUUAAAACAAGUGAGGCUAGCCAGUUUCUGUGAAUUAAAAAAUUUAGUAAAACAGUUCACAUCCUAAUAGGAAGUACUUAAGAAUAAACCAUAGAAGUGCUUAAAAAUUGUCUGGGAUGUGAUCAGAAACUAAGAUUCAAAGUUGAGUGUGAAUGUAUUUUUCUGUAGUUCCAUUCCAGUUGCUUUUUUCAUCUGUUUGUUUUUUUAAUAGAUACCCUACCAACAGGUCAAAUAAAAUUAUCCUAUCCUUCAGUAAAUAAGACAAAUGAAAAUACUUAAAAAGGCUGGAGAAGGAAUGCAUCAGGUCAGAUCACACACACAGAGGAUAUAUUCAAAGUUCUUUAAAAUCUUAGAAGACAAAAAAAAAAAUACUGUGUUAAAAGCUGCGGUAUAAUCAGAAUACUUACAGCUAUUUUAAACCUUUCUACUUUAACAGAAUGGGCUUUAGAUAACAUCCUAUUAAAAAAAAAAGAAAAAUAACUGCCUUAGGAAAAGAGUACUAUAUCAUCAGAUGAUAUUUCCAGCAUCAUAUAAAAUAAACAGGAAAUCUAUAGAGCAGCCUGGAAACUGCCAGUUCUCGGGAGAGUUUCACUUGGAAACCACAUAUCUAUGAGUUUAAGAUAACAGAAUUCUGCUACCAAUAUCCGGUCUUGUUACGAGUGUACUUUUUCAUACUAUCCUCUCUUAAAGCAGGCCUAUACCAGGAACCUUGUUCUACACUACCCUACAGUCUAGUAUAUUUGUUAAUAUCUGUAAAAUAGGCACUUGAUCAGUCUGCAUAUACUGGUGCACUAAGCAGCAGUGCUGUGUUGCUGAACUGUACUAUCAUCUUAAGAUUAAAAUAUUAGAACAAUCAAUGGUACAUCACCUUUCAUUCUAAAAGAAUCAUCCUACACAUUAAACUUCCCUCCUUAGGCAUGCAUAAGUCACAUCAAAAGCUGAAUACAAGGAUUAUGCUCAAUGUAGAAAUGCUCUUUGUGACGUACAACUGAAGAUAUUCAAGUUAUUUACUAAAAAGGUUUUUAUAUUAUUUUCUCUGUAAUUAUAUAAAUUUUACUUAGGUCAAUUAUGUGCAGCAUGUAAACAUCUUAUUUUUGAAGGUCCAAAAAUUAUAUUAAUUUGCACUAUUUUCUUCAAAGUUUUUCUUUGUAACAUAACUUUUCUUGUUAAGAAGUCUCUUGUCUACAAAGAAAAUUCCCAUAGGAACUGGAACUGCACUAAAUAUCACAGCUCUGGAAAAACAAACAAACAAACAAAAAAUACCACCGGAACAAAACAAACCCCAAAAGCUUAACACAGUAGUUUAUAAUCGUACCUGAAGUAUAAAGGUAUACUCUGAAAAUGAAUUCAACCACUGCCUUUUGAUAUUUUUUCUUAUUAUGUUACUCAUUUGAGACAUUUACUUGCACUAUGAAGCCAAGUACUUGAGUCAAGUAGUACCACAUCCCCUAAGCUGUCUCAUGAAAAGCUGUAAGUCUAGCUAGAUAAAGGCAUGCUUGAUUCAGGAUGACGGAACUCAGCACUCAGUAUUUAACAGGACAGAAAUGCAUUUAGAAAAUAUCAGAAGUCCAGUUGCAAACUAUGGAAUUAUAUAUUUUCAAAGUCAAGUGGAAAAAGUCUACACUUAAGAUUUGGAAUACAUGCUCAAAUAACUCAUUUAAUCAGUCACUAAACAGAGUAUCUGCAGUAAAUAUUUUGAAUUGACGAGGCAGAGGAAGCAGCCAUGUAAAUAUUUCAACUUCUUUUUGGAUAUAGUCAGUUGCAUUCAAUAGUAUUAACUACACUCAGUGGAAAAAAAAAUAAAAUUACGGGAUACAGUGUUGGGAUAUCUUCUUUGAAUUUACUGAAUUCCUUCCAAAAUGCCUUAUGGACGGACUGUUUAGUAUUCAUUGCCAUGCUUCUGUACAGCAACGGCUGGUUAAUCUUAUAAAACGUACAGAAAGGGAAAAACAUUAGCUCUACAAACAGGCUUAUUUGGGUCUACCUUGUCACCUUUAGUAUAUGAGCUGCUGGGCUUACUACAGAUAGAAAAAAUAAUUCUAGUAGUUAACUGUAAAUUAAAUAGCUAAAGUAGGAAUUCACUGACUAGAGUGUUUAAAAAAAAUCAGUAAAAUAAGUUGCCUAUUCUUCCCUUUUUAAGGUCAGCAUUAAGAUGCCCUACAGACUGUAUUGCACAAUUGUAUCACACUGUGGACAUAAGGAACGAUUAACUCUGUCACGGAGUUACCUAGAUAGAUCUGUGCCCGUGACAGGGGGCCGGUAGGCUUGUGGGCCCCCCUCCCCCUUCACUUCCCGAGAAAAACGAAGCGGUGGCAACAAUCUAAGAAGGAGAACUUAUUUUACUAACUAUGAUGUUGAGAUGCAAGAUGACACGAUACAAUACAAUCUAAUUGGGAGUAAGUAUAAUAAACCAAAUGGAAUGAGGGAGAGAGAGCGAAAGAGCGAUAGAGAGGGAGAGAGAGAGAGAGUGAG
ensembl:lncRNA